GGAUCCAGACUUUGAUUCUGGCUCAGAACGAACGCUGGCGGCAGGCCUAACACAUGCAAGUCGAGCGCGCCCUUCGGGGUGAGCGGCGGACGGGUUAGUAACGCGUGGGAAUAUACCCGACACUAAGGAAUAGCCUCUGGAAACGGAGAGUAAUACCUUAUACGCCCUUCGGGGGAAAGAUUUAUCGGUGACGGAUUAGCCCGCGUUAGAUUAGAUAGUUGGUGGGGUAAUGGCCUACCAAGUCUACGAUCUAUAGCUGGUUUUAGAGGAUGAUCAGCAACACUGGGACUGAGACACGGCCCAGACUCCUACGGGAGGCAGCAGUGGGGAAUCCUGGACAAUGGGCGCAAGCCUGAUCCAGCCAUGCCGCGUGAGUGAUGAAGGCCUUAGGGUCGUAAAGCUCUUUCGCCAGAGAUGAUAAUGACAGUAUCUGGUAAAGAAGCCCCGGCUAACUCCGUGCCAGCAGCCGCGGUAAU
rnacentral:rRNA from 1 species